rnacentral:rRNA from 1 species
CAGUCGAACGAUACAGUGGCAGACGGGUGAGUAACGCGUGGGAACGUACCUUUCACUACGGAAUAGCUCCGGGAAACUGGUGGUAAUACCGUAUACGCCCUCAGGGGGAAAGAUUUAUCGGUGAAAGAUCGGCCCGCGUUGGAUUAGCUAGUUGGUGAGGUAAUGGCUCACAAAGGCGACGAUCCAUAGCUGGUCUGAGAGGAUGAUCAGCCACAUUGGGACUGAGACACGGCCCAAACUCCUACGGGAGGCAGCAGUGGGGAAUCUUGCACAAUGGGCGAAAGCCUGAUGCAGCCAUGCCGCGUGAAUGAUGAAGGCCUUAGGGUUGUAAAAUUCUUUCGUCAGGGAUGAUAAUGACCGUACCUGAAGAAGAAGCCCCGGCUAACUUCGUGCCAGCAGCCGCGGUAAUACGAAGGGGGCUAGCGUUGUUCGGAAUUACUGGGCGUAAAGCGCACGUAGGCGGAUUUUUAAGUCAGGUGUGAAAUCCCGGGGCUCAACCUCGGAACUGCAUUUGAAACUGGAAGUCUUGAGACCAGGAGAGGUUAGCGGAAUACCGAGUGUAGAGGUGAAAUUCGUAGAUAUUUGGUGGAACACCAGUGGCGAAGGCGGCUAACUGGACUGGCACUGACGCUGAGGUGCGAAAGUGUGGGGAGCAAACAGGAUUAGAUACCCUGGUAGUCCACACCGUAAACGAUGAGAGCUAGUUGUUGGCAGGCAUGCCUGUCAGUGACGCAGCUAACGCAUUAAGCUCUCCGCCUGGGGAGUACGGCCGCAAGGUUAAAACUCAAAGAAAUUGACGG